rnacentral:lncRNA from 1 species
CGCUAGAGGGACUGACUAGGAGAAGCCAGUGUUGCCCAGGGUUGGUGUGCUGAAGACCCCCCCCAAUGCAGUUACAGUUGGUAAGAGGCAGCCCUGCACAGAGAGGAUGGGGACAACCCAAGAUGGACCUUUGCUGUAAAUGUGUGCCUCAUGUCCAGAGGUUUAAACCCUCCUGACUCUUCUAGAGAGGAGACAAGAGAACUCAGGGGCACAGCUGUAGAUGCAGGACUGAUGCCAUCUGGUGCAGUUCCACAGAAAAAGAGAUAAAAUUUACCCAGAGUGUGCCAUGCACUGGCUUUUCUGGGAAUGACAAGGUGCCAGGAUUUGUUUUUGGUUCAUUUGCCGGGGUGGAAACUUGAAACGAGGUGAGUAAAAUACAUGCAAUAUCCCCAUUUAUAACUUGACAUUUUGUAUUUCCAAUUCUGUUUGUAGUUUCAAAAUAAGUGCAAAAGAGCUAAUUUUUUUUAAUGGCCCAACAUUUAAACAUUGUAAAUAGUUAAACCAUUUAGGAUAAUGGGGAAUGUUUACUUUUUCUAACUCAUACCUCUAAUCUAGGGACUUCUAGAAUGCUAAUGGUACUAAUGCAGUACAUAGGAAAUACAGACAGAUUACUGUACUUUGGUUUUGAUCUUUGUAGCUACUCUGAGGUAGAUGUGCUUAUUUAAGCUAAAACUCCAAUUAAAACUCUGGUAUCAUUAGGAAAUCACUGUCAGGUGUCUGUGUCACAUACAAGGGAAAGUGAAAAAUUGAGUUGCAGACCUUUCAAGUUAAUUUUUUGGUGGGGGGUUUGAAUCAGUGAAAUCAGUUCUCAACACUACAUUUCUUACUUUGUCCACACAAAAUAAGAUUGUAGAUUAAAUAGUGAUCUGAUUAAUUAUCUGAGUAGUUAGCAUCUUACUGCAUAGGAAUGUGGGCAAUCAGGGUAGACCUGUGCUUAGAACGAUAGCCAGAACAUUACAGGCACUCAGAAAAAACUUCCUGUUGAAUUAAGCUAAAAAUAUUCUUGUUUU